GAGUUUGAUCCUGGCUCAGAUUGAACGCUGGCGGAAUGCUUUACACAUGCAAGUCGAACGGCAGCACGGACUUCGGUCUGGUGGCGAGUGGCGAACGGGUGAGUAACAUAUCGGAACGUAUCCAAUAAUGGGGGAUAACUAAUCGAAAGGUUGGCUAAUACCGCAUACGCCCUACGGGGGAAAGCUAGGGACCUUCGGGCCUGGCGUUAAUGGAGCGGCCGAUAUCUGAUUAGCUAGUUGGUGGGGUAAAGGCCCACCAAGGCGACGAUCAGUAGCUGGUCUGAGAGGACGACCAGCCACACUGGAACUGAGACACGGUCCAGACUCCUACGGGAG
rnacentral:rRNA from 1 species